rnacentral:misc_RNA from 1 species
GAUGAAGAACGUAGUGAAAUGCGAUAAGUAAUGCGAAUUGCAGAAUUCAGUGAAUCAUCGAAUCUUUGAACGCACAUUGCGCCCGCUAGUAUUCUGGCGGGCAUGCCUGUCUGAGCGUCAUUUCAACCCUCGCCCCCGGCUUUUGCUGGGAGCGGUGUUGGGGAUCGGCCGCCCGUCACUGGGAGGCCGGCCCCGAAAUAGAGUGGCGACCACGCCGUGUGCUCCUCUGCGUAGUAGUAAAUCACCUCGCAGGCGGACAGCGGUGCGGCCUGCCGUAAAACCCCCAACUCUUUCUGGUUGACCUCAGAUCAGGUAGGAAUACCCGCUGAACUUAAGCAUAUCAAUAGCGGAGGA